rnacentral:tRNA from 1 species
GGCACUUAGCUCAGCCCCGACGUGCGGUCGGGGAGCCGACCGAAGCGUCGGCUUGGUAGAGCAACGCCCUUAUAAGACGUGGGUCGCAGGUUCGAUCCCUGCCAGGCCG